rnacentral:rRNA from 1 species
UCCAGUUUAUCCUGCUGGAGGCUGCUGCUCUUUGGAUUCGACUAAGCCAUGCAAGUUUUUGUUCCGCAAGGGGCAAAGCGAACUGCUCAGUAACACGUAGCUAAUCUACCUUAAGGUCCUGGAUAAUCUCGGGAAACUGAGAAUAAGCCAGGGUACACGACGAUCACUGGAAAGUAUUGUUGUUGAAACUCACGGCCUUAAGAUGAGGCUGCGGCUGAUUAGGUAGUUGUUGGGGUAACUGCCCAACAAGCCAAUGAUCAGUAAGGGCUCUUAACGGAGAAGCCCUGAGAGGGACUCUGAGACACUAGUCCCAGCUCUACGGAGUGCAGCAGGUGCGAAAAUUUUCCAAUGCCCGCAAGGGUGAGAAAGGAAUCCAAAGUGCUCUCACAAAUGUGUGAGCUUUUCUUUGCUGUAAAAAAGCAGAGGAAUAAGGACUGGGCAAGACUGGUGCCAGCCGCCGCGGUAAUCCCAGCGGUCCAAGUGGCAGCCACAUUUAUUAGGUCUAAAACAUUCGUAGCAUGUCCCGCAAGUUCUUUGUGAAAUCUUCUGGCUUAACCAGAAGGCGCGCAUUGAAAACUGCGAGACUUGGGACUGGGAGACGCAAGAAGUACAGUUGGGGUAGCGGUAAAAUGUUUUAAUCCCAGCUGGACUAACAAUAGCGAAGGCAUCUUGCGAGAACAGCUCUGACUGUGAGGAAUGAAGGCUAGGGGCGCAAAAUGGAUUAGAUACCCAUGUAGUCCUAGCUGUAAACACUGCACACUAAACAUUGCUCUCUCCUCGAGAGGGGGCAGUGCUGUAGCGAAGGCGAAGAGUGUGCUACCUGGGGAGUAUAGUCGCAAGACCGAAACUUAAAGGAAUUGGCGGGGGAGCGCUACAAGGGGUGACGCGUACGGUUCAAUUAGAUUCUACACCGUGAACCUUACCAGGACCGACAGCAGAAUGAAGGUCAGUCUAAAGGGCUUACCUGACACGCUGAGAGGAGGUGCAUGGCCGUCGUCAGCUUGUGUUGUGAAAUGCCCUGUUAACUCAGGUAACAAGCGAGACCCGUGUGUAUAAUUGCUACUGCAAAGAGCACAUUAUACAGACUGCCUUGGUAACAAGGAGGAAGGUGCGGGCAACGAUAGGUGAGUACGCCCCAAAUGCCCUGGGCUACACGCGCGCGUCAAUGCUACAUACAAUGUGAUGCAACUCCGAAAGGAGAAGCAAAUCACACAAAGUGUAGCUUAGUUCAGAUUGAACGUUGAAACCUACGUUCAUGAUGCUGGAAUCCCUAGUAAUCGGGUGUUAUCAGCGCCCGGUGAAUAAGUCCCCGCUCCUUGCACACACCGCCCAUCAAACCAUCUGAGUUAUUUUUAGAUGAAGUCAGAAAUGAAAGAAUCUAAAGAUGACAAAGAAGGUUAAGUUGUCACAAGGUAUCCGUAGGGGAACCUGCGGAUGGAUCACCUCC